rnacentral:misc_RNA from 1 species
UUAACUAUUAUAUAGUACUCGGACGACACUGUAAGACAGGGUUUGUGGGGUCUCUGGCGGGCGCGCACCAGCCGGGGCCGGUGGCCAAAUGGCGGCCCGCCAAAGCAACAAAGGCAAUGUAUACAUAGGGUGGGAGGUCUACCCCGAAGGGCAUGAACUCUGUAAUGAUCCUUCCGCAGGUUCACCUACGGAAA